rnacentral:rRNA from 1 species
AGUGAACGCUGGCGGUAGGCCUAACACAUGCAAGUCGAACGGCAGCACAGUAAGAGCUUGCUCUUACGGGUGGCGAGUGGCGGACGGGUGAGGAAUACAUCGGAAUCUACUUUUUCGUGGGGGAUAACGUAGGGAAACUUACGCUAAUACCGCAUACGACCUACGGGUGAAAGCAGGGGAUCUUCGGGCCUUGCGCGAUUGAAUGAGCCGAUGUCGGAUUAGCUAGUUGGCGGGGUAAAGGCCCACCAAGGCGACGAUCCGUAGCUGGUCUGAGAGGAUGAUCAGCCACACUGGAACUGAGACACGGUCCAGACUCCUACGGGAGGCAGCAGUGGGGAAUAUUGGACAAUGCGCGCAAGCCUGAUCCAGCCAUACCGCGUGGGUGAAGAAGGCCUUCGGGUUGUAAAGCCCUUUUGUUGGGAAAGAAAAGCAGCAGGUUAAUACCCCGCUGUUCUGACGGUACCCAAAGAAUAAGCACCGGCUAACUUCGUG